rnacentral:rRNA from 1 species
GCUUGUCUCAAAGAUUAAGCCAUGCAUGUCUAAGUGUAAAUACGUCUACACUGUGAAACUGCGAAUGGCUCAUUAAAUCAGUUAUCGUUUAUUUGAUGAUCUCUCGUUACAUGGAUAACCGUAGUAAUUCUAGAGCUAAUACAUGCGUCAAGCCCCGACUCACGAAGGGGUGUAUUUAUUAGAUGGAAACCAAUGCGGGGCAACCCGGAUUCUGGUGAUUCAUAAUAAUUAUCGGAUCGAUCGUAUGAUCGAUGCAUCAUUCAAGUUUCUGCCCUAUCAGCUUUGGAUGGUAGGGUAUUGGCCUACCAUGGCAUUAACGGGUAACGGAGAAUUAGGGUUCGAUUCCGGAGAGGGAGCCUGAGAAAUGGCUACCACAUCCAAGGAAGGCAGCAGG